GCCAUAGCUCAGUAGCAGAACAUAUGCUUUGCAUGCAGAAGCUCCUGGUUCAAUCCCUGGCAUCUUGAUGCA